GACGAACGCUGGCGGCGUGCUUAACACAUGCAAGUCGAGCGGAAAGGCCACUUCGGUGGUACUCGAGCGGCGAACGGGUGAGUAACACGUGAGCAAUCUGCCCUUGACACUGGGAUAACAGUUGGAAACAGCUGCUAAUACCGGAUACGACCUCCUGAGGCAUCUCGGGAGGUGGAAAGCUCUGGCGGUCAAGGAUGAGCUCGCGGCCUAUCAGCUUGUUGGUGAGGUAACGGCUCACCAAGGCGACGACGGGUAGCCGGCCUGAGAGGGCGACCGGCCACACUGGGACUGAGAUACGGCCCAGACUCCUACGGGAGGCAGCAGUGGGGAAUAUUGCACAAUGGGCGCAAGCCUGAUGCAGCAACGCCGCGUGUGGGAUGACGGCCUUCGGGUUGUAAACCACUUUCAGCGGGGACGAAGCGAAAGUGACGGUACCCGCAGAAGAAGCACCGGCCAACUUCGUGCCAGCCGCCGCCGUAAGAC
rnacentral:rRNA from 1 species